rnacentral:lncRNA from 1 species
GAUGUGUCCCCAGGCUAUCUCCCCUGCACCCUCAUAAGUUUGAUCAUCAUCUUUAGUUGCACAUCAACGGAGAUCCAGACUUUUUUUAACGAAUAUAAUUUUUUUUUGCAGUGAAGUCAUCGGCCUGCGGAUACUUGCAUCGUGCGGGCCUGGUUUUCGAGCUGGCAUGUCUUCCGGCGGGACCUACUUCGUAUACAUGAAGGGUCAAUGCACGAGGGUUGGCGGUGGACGUUUGGGUCUUUCGUUUUCGAGCAAUUAACAAAAUUAAACCGGUUCCUUGAGGCCUGUUGGUGGUUUUCCCGCAAACACUCUUGCCACAGUAAGUCGUUUACAUUACGUAUUGAACUCCAUUUUGUACUCGUCCUGCUCAUAGUCUCAUAUAUGAAUUAGCUUGCGAAUAAUUCCUCUUACAACUAUAUAUUAUAGACCAAAUAAAUCUCUUUUGUGGGUUAAUUAAUUGCCUGAGUUGAGAAAAUAUCAAGUCAUCUUUGCUAGCUCAACCGAAAUAGGGUGAGGAUACUGCUUCAUUACUAUACUAAUCCUUGGUGUGGGGAUUGGGGACCGUAAACAUGAUCAAAUCGAGGGUAUUUGAGUUCUUUUAACAAUAGAAUUAUAGGUAAGCCUUCUGGUCAACAAUUAGUCCGUCUCAGCUUGCACAAAUAACUACACUUUUGAUCGACAACUAAUCAUUAAACUGGUGAUGAGUUGUGUCUUAAAGAAGACAUAGUAGGAGGGCUGAUCGAAGAAUUUGAUGAUACAUAAAAAUAUAAAAUAAUUGUUUAACUUGAUAUAGUAUAUAGGAUAGGAGAUCAAAAUGAGCAUCAACUUGUCUGAUUAGAAAAUGUUGUUGGUUGUGUCUUGUCUGUUAGACUUUUUGUUUGUUUUUUAUGCGAGUGUUUCCGCUAGAACAUAAACAGUUAUCCGUUUGCAGCCGCCUAUAAAUCUAUAAAUCUAUAAACCAAUUAGCAAAAUCAAACCGGUUCCGUGAGUUGAGGCCUGUUUGUCUGUAUACCCGCAAACACUCAUGCAACGAUAAGCACGGUAUGUGGUUUAUAUUUACGUAUUGAACUCCAAUUUUAACUUGUCCUUCUCAUAUAAGGAUUAGAUUCAAAAUUUCAUAUAAGUUCGAGAUAAAUUUGGGUAUUUAGCAAUAGUUAAUAUUCGAUUAUAUAUUUAUCCAUUUAUACUACUACAGGAUGUUUUUUAAAUCUACUUUAUACUACUACAGGAUGUUUUGUAAAUCUACUGAGUAGAAAUGAUGAGAUAGUUUCCACGGCUUACUGUCUCAAAAAACCAAGAUGAUUUUGGUCUCGUACUAUGUCAAGUCAUAUUAACAAUCAUCCUUUGUACUUUAACACAAUAAUAACAGAUCAGUCUUCUUACAACUAUUAUAGACCAAAUAAAUCUCUUUUGUGGGUUGUAUAGGCAAAUGCUUUCGGUUGGCCGUUUUGGUAUGAGAUUUUUGUUUGUGUUGUUAGUUUUUUGGUAUGAAUGAAUGCUUAUUAUACAUAUACAUCUCGUACGUUGCUUAUGAUUAAUAUCAUUCAUCAUUUAUAUAAAGGAAAAGGAGCAUGCAUUGACUUAGAACUCUUCUACCUCUACAGUAAAUAAUUUGUCCGACAAUUAGAGUCCAUAAUGCUUCUUCUAUUACCAAGUUAUGAAAAUAGGUUUUGAAUUUGUUAUUAGCAUGCGAUUUGACGUUGAGAUGAAGAUAAGGCUUCGAGUUUGGAAAUUUUGGCAGA